rnacentral:rRNA from 1 species
GAUGAACGCUAGCGACAGGCCUAACACAUGCAAGUCGAGGGGCAGCACGGUGUAGCAAUACACGGGUGGCGACCGGCGCACGGGUGAGUAACGCGUAUGCAACCUGCCUACUACAAGGGGAUAACCCGUUGAAAGACGGACUAAUACCCUAUAACACAGGGAAUCCGCAUGGAUAUAUUUGUUAAAGAUUUAUCGGUAGUAGAUGGGCAUGCGUUCCAUUAGCUUGUUGGUGAGGUAACGGCUCACCAAGGCAACGAUGGAUAGGGGAACUGAGAGGUUGAUCCCCCACACUGGAACUGAGACACGGUCCAGACUCCUACGGGAGGCAGCAGUGAGGAAUAUUGGUCAAUGGACGAGAGUCUGAACCAGCCAAGUCGCGUGAAGGAAGACGGCCCUACGGGUUGUAAACUUCUUUUGUAAGGGAAUAAAUAGUCUUACGUGCUAAGACGUUGCAGGUACCUUACGAAUAAGGAUCGGCUAACUCCGUG